UUUUGGGCGUGGCAAGGUCCUCACACGCCACUUGCAUUCAUGCAUGAGCCCCUAGGGAUUCUAGAAGGAUCUAAUCUUGAUGAGGAACAUCUAGGGUUUCAACUAUCAAGGUAAGAAGCAAGACGCCACAUGGCACUCAUGCACAAAGGGAACCUUUAGUUUCCAUAUCAAAAUUGAAGACGAGGGAGAGAGAGUGGGAAUUGAGUAAGGUAUGUAAGGAGGACAUUAAUGGAAUUGGCACCCUACCCUCACUAAAGGCACACCAAAGGUCAUUUUGUCCCAUUUUCAAAUUUUCUUCUCCUCUCGUCGCUCUAUCUCGCCUACCUUAGGGAAAGAUAGCCCAUCAUUAUUUUCCUUCCAACCAAACACCCUCUAUGCACAAGCAUAGGAAGGAAGAUUCAGACAUCACAUUGGAAAGGUUAUAAUGGCCUUGAUGCAGACGUAGCCCGAGAGGAGUUUCUCGAGGAAGAAGGAUCAACCCCCCUCGAGUGAUAGAAACGUAGGCUUGUCUUUGCUAUUACUAUUUGCAUCGAUGGAAAUGUAUUAUUUAGUUAAGUGGAAAACCGUGUUCGAUUUGUCAUACCUAGAUGAGAGAGGAAUAAUUGGCAUUAUGUAAUAUUAUUUGAGAAAUAACAAUGAUAUAUGGAUAUUAUUAUUCUUAAUAAAUGAAUCUUUAAUGGGUUUAGACCUU